rnacentral:rRNA from 1 species
GACGAACGCUGGCGGCGUGCUUAACACAUGCAAGUCGAACGGAAAGGCCCUGCUUUUGUGGGGUGCUCGAGUGGCGAACGGGUGAGUAACACGUGAGUAACCUGCCCUUGACUUUGGGAUAACUUCAGGAAACUGGGGCUAAUACCGGAUAGGAGCUCCUGCUGCAUGGUGGGGGUUGGAAAGUUUCGGCGGUUGGGGAUGGACUCGCGGCUUAUCAGCUUGUUAGUGGGGUAGUGGCUUACCAAGGCUUUGACGGGUAGCCGGCCUGAGAGGGUGACCGGCCACAUUGGGACUGAGGUACGGCCCAGACUCCUACGGGAGGCAGCAGUGGGGAAUAUUGCACAAUGGGCGGAAGCCUGAUGCAGCAACGCCGCGUGCGGGAUGACGGCCUUCGGCUUGUAAACCGCUUUCGCCUGUGACGAAGCGUGAGUGACGGUAAUGGGUAAAGAAGCACCGGCUAACUACGUG